AUGCAGUGAGGAAUCCAUGCCAGAAAACAGCGGGUGGCCAUUUUGAAACCGCCGAUCAGCUGUGCGAAAAUCAUCGCUUUGCGAUGAUCGGUUACCGAAACGGGACCAAUCAUCGCAAAGCGAAAUUCCCCCAUAGGGAACAUUGUUUUGCGAUCGCUUUUGUGAUCGCAAAAACAUCGACGUAAAGCGAUUUCAUCGUCAAAUGGAGCAAUCGUAAUGCGAGGCACCACUGUAAUUGUUUCUGCCUUACCUUUCCCAGACACAAUGCAGUCCACUGACAUUCAGUUCAAGUUCCUUGCUUGAAGUUUCUUAUAAAUUGUAGGAUUGUUAUACAAUGUUGGGCCAACUAGAUAUUUAAGAGCUGCCUGUUUCCAUACAUUGUUAAACUGUGCAUCUGCAUAUAAAAAGAUAGGGAAACAGUUCUAGCCUCUGUUCUGAACUACAUAGUACAUGCUUAGGAAAACAUGCCCUUGCUUUAUAAAAGAAAGCCACCACAAAAGGGAUCCAUUCCCAUUAGAAUUGUGCUGCAAGGAGAAGUGAGGUUUAAUCUUUCACUUGUAUGUGUUCUACCCUAGCUGCUCUUUGUUGCAAAUAAAUCUGAAUAAAAGCUUCAUUAGUUUAACAGUGAGUUUGCUUUUCUGAGUGAGAGUUGGACUGAGCAGAAUUUUUGGCUGAUUUACAACUGGUAGAUCUGCCUUGAAGAAGGAAACAGCUUUGGCAAAUGAAUGGAAGACUUAUGGCAGUGCAACCAGGCAAGGCACCAGAGGAAGAGUGAAAAGAAAAGGGGAAUUAUGUGGAGAUCCUUUGAGACAGUAAACAUAUGAAGAGAAGAAAGGAACAAUGCUUGUGGUUGGCCAGUGUGGCUUCAUGGGACAUGAUGGUGCUUGUGAAACAGAAAAGAUUCUGCAAUGUCCUCAGCAAUCUGAAGGGUCUCAGAGAGGAAUCUAUUGAUUUCUAAUCCACCAAGGAUUUCUCACAGUGAGCCUGAGCCAACACGUUGAUGAUCAUUAUUGCUGAAAUGUCUUGCUUUCUGCAACCACUUCCUGCUUAUGUGGUGCAAAUGUUUCUGAAUAAACAUAGUGAGAAAUAUUUGUACUGACUCCA
rnacentral:lncRNA from 1 species